GACGAACCGUGCGAACGUUGUUCGGAAUCACUGGGCUUAAAGGGCGCGUAGGCGGUCGAUCAAGUCCGGGGUGAAAUCCUGCAGCUUAACUGUAGUAAGUGCCUUGGAUACUGAUCGGCUCGAAGGGAGGUAGGGGGCUGUGGAACUUCUGGUGGAGCGGUGAAAUGCGUUGAUAUCAAGAAGGAACGCCGGUGGCGAAAGCGGCAGACUGGACCUCUCUAACGCUGAGGCACGAAAGCUAGGGGGAGCAAACGGG
rnacentral:rRNA from 1 species